rnacentral:rRNA from 1 species
UACGAAGGGAGCUAGCGUUGUUCGGAAUCACUGGGCGUAAAGCGCACGUAGGCGGCUUUGCCAGUCAGGGGUGAAAUCCCGGGGCUCAACCUCGGAACUGCCUUUGAUACAGCAAGUCUUGAGUUCGAGAGAGGUGGGUGGAAUUCCUAGUGUAGAGGUGAAAUUCGUAGAUAUUAGGAAGAACACCGGUGGCGAAGGCGGCCCACUGGCUCGACACUGACGCUGAGGUGCGAAAACGUGGGGAGCAAACAGG